GACGAACGCUGGCGGCGUGCUUAACACAUGCAAGUCGAACGGUGAAGGGACUGGUUUUGCUGGUCCUGGAUGAGUGGCGACCGGGUGAGUAACACGUGAGUAACCUGCCCCCUUCUUCUGGAUAACCGCAUGAAAGUGUGGCUAAUACGGGAUAUUCUGGGUCUGUCGCAUGGUAGGCCUGGGAAAGAUUGCGCCUUUUUUGGUGUUUUUGGUGGGGGAUGGGCUCGCGGCCUAUCAGCUUGUUGGUGGGGUGAUGGCCUACCAAGGCGGUGACGGGUAGCCGGCCUGAGAGGGUGGACGGUCACACUGGGACUGAGACACGGCCCAGACUCCUACGGGAGGCAGCAGUGGGGAAUAUUGCACAAUGGGCGCAAGCCUGAUGCAGCGACGCCGCGUGAGGGAUGGAGGCCUUCGGGUUGUGAACCUCUUUCGCCGGUGAAGCAGGCCUGCCUCUUUUUGUGGGUGGGUUGACGGUAGCUGGAUAAGAAGCGCCGGCUAACUACGUG
rnacentral:rRNA from 1 species